GAUGAACGCUGGCGGCGUGCCUAAUACAUGCAAGUCGAGCGAACAGACGAGGAGCUUGCUCCUCUGACGUUAGCGGCGGACGGGUGAGUAACACGUGGAUAACCUACCUAUAAGACUGGGAUAACUUCGGGAAACCGGAGCUAAUACCGGAUAAUAUAUUGAACCGCAUGGUUCAAUAGUGAAAGACGGUUUUGCUGUCACUUAUAGAUGGAUCCGCGCCGCAGUAGCUAGUUGGUAAGGUAACGGCUUACCAAGGCGACGAUGCGUAGCCGACCUGAGAGGGUGAUCGGCCACACUGGAGCGGAGACACGGUCCAGACUCCUACGGGAGGCAGCAGUAGGGAAUCUUCCGCAAUGGGCGAAAGCCUGACGGAGCAACGCCGCGUGAGUGAUGAAGGUCUUCGGAUCGUAAAACUCUGUUAUUAGGGAAGAACAAAUGUGUAAGUAACUAUGCACGUCUUGACGGUACCUAAUCAGAAAGCCACGGCUAACUACGUG
rnacentral:rRNA from 1 species